UCGCUUCCCACACAGUCCACUCGCAGCAGCAGCACUGCACCACUACUACCAGUGCGCCAGUCCAGCCGACUUCGAGCUCGACCAGCUUCUUUCGUGACUGUCAUCCAUGGCCAUGAGGAAGGCGACGCAUCAGGUGAUCCGGGCCUUGGAGCCGUCCCUCACCAGGAGCCUCCAUGCAUCCCCGGGCAGCAAGAAGAUCGUGGGCGUGUUCUACAAGGGCGGCGAGCACGCGGGGCAGAACCCCAACUUCGUUGGUUGCGUGGAGAACGCGCUGGGCAUCCGCAGCUGGCUCGAGUCGCAGGGCCACCAGUACAUCGUCACCGACGACAAGGACGGCCCCAACUGCGAGCUGGAGAAGCACAUGGCGGACGCGCACGUGCUCAUCACCACGCCGUUCCACCCGGCGUACGUGAGCGCGGACCGGAUCAGGCGCGGCAAGAACCUGGAGCUGCUCCUCACGGCGGGGAUCGGCUCCGACCACAUCGAGCUGCCGGCGGCGGCGGCCGCGGGGCUCCGUCGCCGAGGUCACGGGCAGCAACACGGUGUCGGUGGCGGAGGACCAGCCGAUGCGCAUCCUCGUCCUCAUGCGCAACUUCCUGCCGGGCCACCACCAGGCCAUCAGCGGGGAGUGGGACCUCGCCGGGAUCGCGCACCGGGCCUACGACCUGGAGGGCAAGACGGUGGGCACCGUAGGCGCCGGCCGCAUCGGAAAGCUGCUGCUCCGGCGCCUCAAGCCCUUCGGCUGCAACCUGCUCUACCACGACAGGCUCCGCGUCGACGCCGCGCUCGAGGAGGACCUCGGCGCCGCCUUCGAGGAGGACCUCGACGCCAUGCUGCCCAAGUGCGAUGUCGUCGUGCUCAACAUGCCGCUCACCGAGAAGACAAAGGGCAUGUUCAACAAGGAGAAGAUCGCCAAGAUGAAGAAAGGCGUCAUCAUCGUGAACAAUGCUCGUGGAGCGAUCAUGGACACGCAGGCAGUGGCAGACGCUUGCAAAAGUGGGCACAUCGCUGGGUACGGCGGCGACGUGUGGUACCCGCAGCCGGCGCCCAAGGAGCACCCAUGGAGGUACAUGCCCAACAAUGCCAUGACCCCUCACAUCUCCGGCACCACCAUUGACGGCCAGCUGAGGUACGCCGCCGGUGUGAAGGACAUGCUGGAGAGGUACUUCAAGGGGCAGGACUUCCCGGAGCCCAACUACAUUGUCAAGGAAGGCAAGCUCGCCAGCCAGUACCAGUGAGCAUCCAUCCAUCCAUGGAGCCGAAGCUGCACGCCUGCACGGAUCGUCUUGUGCCAGUUCAGGAAACUAAAUAAAGGAUGCUUGGUCGUUGCAGUGGCCAUCAGCUAUAAAUGUACACACCAAAAUAAAAUGGAACAAAAGCUGGUUGCUUUGAUUUGCAACCAGCUUCCUUCACUGUAUUUGGUUUGAAUUAUAAUAAAGUCAAAUUGUUGUGCAAA